UGAGGAAUAUUGGUCAAUGGGCGGGAGCCUGAACCAGCCAAGCCGCGUGAGGGAAGACGGCCCUAUGGGUUGUAAACCUCUUUUGUCGGAGAACAAAACCCGGGACGUGUCCCGGACUGCGUGUAUCCGAAGAAAAAGCAUCGGCUAACUCCGUGCCAGCAGCCGCGGUAAUACGGAGGAUGCGAGCGUUAUCCGGAUUUAUUGGGUUUAAAGGGUGCGUAGGCGGUCCGUUAAGUCAGCGGUAAAAUUGCGGGGCUCAACCCCGUCGAGCCGUUGAAACUGGCAGACUUGAGUUGGCGAGAAGUACGCGGAAUGCGCGGUGUAGCGGUGAAAUGCAUAGAUAUCGCGCAGAACUCCGAUUGCGAAGGCAGCGUACCGGCGCCAGACUGACGCUGAGGCACGAAAGCGUGGGGAUCGAACAGG
rnacentral:rRNA from 1 species